AGAGUUUGAUCCUGGCUCAGGAUGAACGCUAGCGACAGGCCUAACACAUGCAAGUCGAGGGGCAGCAUGGUAUCAGCUUGCUGAUACCGAUGGGCGACCGGCGCACGGGUGAGUAACGCGUACGUAAUCUGCCUGUAACAGAGGGAUAACCCGGAGAAAUCCGGACUAAUACCUCAUAGCACAUAUUAUUCGCAUGAGUUUUAUGUUAAAGAGACUCGGUUACAGAUGAACAUGCGUUCCAUUAGCUGGUUGGCGGGGUCACGGCCCACCAAGGCGACGAUGGAUAGGGGUUCUGAGAGGAAGGUCCCCCACACUGGUACUGAGACACGGACCAGACUCCUACGGGAGGCAGCA
rnacentral:rRNA from 1 species